GACGAACGCUGGCGGCGUGCCUAACACAUGCAAGUCGAACGGAGUUAUCCUUCGGGGUAACUUAGUGGCGAACGGGUGAGUAACGCGUGAGAAACCUGCCUCUCAGUGGGGGACAACAGUUGGAAACGACUGCUAAUACCGCAUGACACUUUAGUACCGCAUGGUACAGAAGUCAAAGCUUUAUGUGCUGAGAGAUGGUCUGGCGUCUGAUUAGCUAGAUGGCGGGGUAACGGCCCACCAUGGCGACGAUCAGUAGCCGGUCUGAGAGGAUGAACGGCCACAUUGGGACUGAGAUACGGCCCAGACUACUACGGGAGGAAGCAGUGGGGAAUAUUGGGCAAUGGGGGAAACCCUGACCCAGCAACGCCGCGUGAAGGAAGAAGGCCUUCGGGUUGUAAACUUCUUUUACCAGGGACGAAGAACGUGACGGUACCUGGAGAAAAAGCAACGGCUAACUACGUGCCAGCAGCCGCCGUAAAAC
rnacentral:rRNA from 1 species